CCUACGGGAGGCAGCAGUGGGGGAUAUUGCACAAUGGGGGGAACCCUGAUGCAGCGACGCCGCGUGGGUGAAGAAGCGCCUCGGCGCGUAAAGCCCUGUCAGCAGGGAAGAAAAUGACGGUACCUGAAGAAGAAGCCCCGGCUAACUACGUGCCAGCAGCCGCGGGAAUACGUAGGGGGCAAGCGUUAUCCGGAUUUACUGGGUGUAAAGGGGGCGCAGACGGCGAUGCAAGCCAGGAGUGAAAGCCCGGGGCCCAACCCCGGGACUGCUCUUGGAACUGCGGGGAUGGAGUGCAGGAGGGGCAGGCGGAAUUCCUGGUGUAGCGGUGAAAUGCGUAGAUAUCAGGAGGAACACCGGUGGCGAAGGCGGCCUGCUGGACUGCAACUGACGUUGAGGCCCGAAAGCGUGGGGAGCAAACAGGAUUAGAUACCCGUGUAGUC
rnacentral:rRNA from 1 species